UGAGGAAUUUUGCGCAAUGGGGGAAACCCUGACGCAGCAACGCCGCGUGAGUGAUGAAGGCCUUCGGGUCGUAAAGCUCUGUCAAGUGGGAAGAACCUGCUUCGUGCUAAUACCACGAGGCACUGACGGUACCACUGAAGGAAGCACCGGCUAACUCCGUGCCAGCAGCCGCGGUAAUACGGGGGGUGCUAGCGUUAUUCGGAAUCAUUGGGCGUAAAGGGCGCGUAGGCGGUCGCUUAAGUCAGAUGUGAAAGCCCUCGGCUUAACCGAGGAAGUGCAUUUGAUACUAAGUGACUUGAGUAUGGGAGAGGGAAGCGGAAUUCCUGGUGUAGCGGUGAAAUGCGUAGAUAUCAGGAGGAACACCGGUGGCGAAGGCGGCUUCCUGGACCAAUACUGACGCUGAGGCGCGAAGGCGGUGGGGAGCAAACAGGAUUAGAUACCCUGGUAGUCCACGCAGUAAACGGUGAACACUAGGUGUAGCGGGUAGUUGACCCUGCUGUC
rnacentral:rRNA from 1 species